rnacentral:rRNA from 1 species
GAUGAACGCUAGCGGCAGGCCUAACACAUGCAAGUCGAGGGGUAGAAGGAGCUUGCUCCUUUGAGACCGGCGCACGGGUGCGUAACGCGUAUGCAAUCUACCUUGUACAGGGGAAUAGCCCAGAGAAAUUUGGAUUAAUGCCCCAUAGUAUAUAACCUUCGCAUGUUGGUUAUAUUAAAGUUCCAACGGUACAAGAUGAGCAUGCGUCCCAUUAGUUAGUUGGUAAGGUAACGGCUUACCAAGACGAUGAUGGGUAGGGGUCCUGAGAGGGAGAUCCCCCACACUGGUACUGAGACACGGACCAGACUCCUACGGGAGGCAGCAGUGAGGAAUAGUGGUCAAUGGUCGCAAGACUGAACCAGCCAUGCCGCGUGCAGGAAGACGGUCCUAUGGAUUGUAAACUGCUUUUAUACAGGAAGAAACCCUCCCACGUGUGGGAGCUUGACGGUACUGCAGGAAUAAGAAUCGGCUAACUCCGUG